AAUGGGUCAGCGACUUAUAUUCUGUAGCAAGGUUAACCGAAUAGGGGAGCCGAAGGGAAACCGAGUCUUAACUGGGCGUUAAGUUGCAGGGUAUAGACCCGAAACCCGGUGAUCUAGCCAUGGGCAGGUUGAAGGUUGGGUAACACUAACUGGAGGACCGAACCGACUAAUGUUGAAAAAUUAGCGGAUGACUUGUGGCUGGGGGUGAAAGGCCAAUCAAACCGGGAGAUAGCUGGUUCUCCCCGAA
rnacentral:rRNA from 1 species